rnacentral:rRNA from 1 species
UACGUAGGGUGCAAGCGUUGUCCGGAAUUAUUGGGCGUAAAGAGCUCGUAGGCGGUUUGUCGCGUCUGCUGUGAAAACCCGAGGCUCAACCUCGGGCCUGCAGUGGGUACGGGCAGACUAGAGUGCGGUAGGGGAGAUUGGAAUUCCUGGUGUAGCGGUGAAAUGCGCAGAUAUCAGGAGGAACACCAGUGGCGAAGGCGGAUCUCUGGGCCGAACUGAUGACGUGAGGAGCGAAAGCUGGGGAGCGAACAGGAUUA